AAAAUAUCAUGUGGUAUGGUUCCAUUGGGUCCAUCAGCUACUGAUCACUACCAAGAGAGCUCUGUCAACACUCAGUGUCCCACAUGUAGGAUAAAGGAAGCCAGGCCCCCAAUUAGCUGUGUUGGGAAAAAAAGUUACCAGCGGCUAAUGGCAUGGCAAGGGGACAGAGGUGGGACUUUUAAGAUUCCUGGACAAGAAACAAGAAACACAGGAAAAGGGACAAGAUGAGUCAGCCAUGAAAAGGGCAAAGGAUGGAGCAUGCCAGGAAGAAGGAAGAUACUUCUCCAGCACAAUGUCUGACUGUGAGCUGCCAUGGUCCCUACUGUGAUAACAGUGGAAUAAACCUCUGAAACUAUAAGCAAGCCC